UGGACUGAAGGUCAACAAGAGCUGACCCAUGCUGAUGGUACAAGUCAAUUCGAGCUUAUGUUGACAUAGGCCGACUUGGGCAAAAGGUCGACAUAGGUUGUCCCGUGUUGAAAGUUGAGACGGUCUGACCCAACUCGAAGAUACAAAUGAGCUAACUCGGGGUCAAAGGUCAAGAACAGUUGACUUAGCCAAAGGUCGAUGCUAGUCGGCCUAGGCCUAAAGACAAGAUGGGUCAGCUUAGGCAAAAGAUCGAGACAGGUCAUCCCACACCAAAGGUCGAGACUAGUCGAGAUGGGCCAGUUAAGACUGAAGGUCAAAACGGGGCCAACUCG
rnacentral:lncRNA from 1 species